rnacentral:rRNA from 1 species
ACGAACGCUGGCGGCGUGCUUAACACAUGCCAGUCGAACGGAAAGGCCCUGCUUUUGUGGGGUGCUCGAGUGGCGAACGGGUGAGUAACACGUGAGUAACCUGCCCUUGACUUUGGGAUAACUUCAGGAAACUGGGGCUAAUACCGGAUAGGAGCUCCUGCUGCAUGGUGGGGGUUGGAAAGUUUCGGCGGUUGGGGAUGGACUCGCGGCUUAUCAGCUUGUUGGUGGGGUAGUGGCUUACCAAGGCUUUGACGGGUAGCCGGCCUGAGAGGGUGACCGGCCACAUUGGGACUGAGAUACGGCCCAGACUCCUACGGGAGGCAGCAGUGGGGAAUAUUGCACAAGGGGCGGAAGCCUGAUGCAGCAACGCCGCGUGCGGGAUGACGGCCUUCGGGUGGUAAACCGCUUUCGCCUGUGACGAAGCGUGAGGGACGGUAAUGGGUAAAGAAACACCGGCUAACUACGU